UGGCUCAGAUGGUAAAGUGUCUGCCUGCAAUGCAGGAGACCCAGGUUUGAUACCUGG
rnacentral:tRNA from 1 species